AUUGAACGCUGGCGGCAGGCUUAACACAUGCAAGUCGAGCGGAGAGAGGUAGCUUGCUACUGAUCUUAGCGGCGGACGGGUGAGUAAUGCUUAGGAAUCUGCCUAUUAGUGGGGGACAACAUUUCGAAAGGAAUGCUAAUACCGCAUACGUCCUACGGGAGAAAGCAGGGGAUCUUCGGACCUUGCGCUAAUAGAUGAGCCUAAGUCGGAUUAGCUAGUUGGUGGGGUAAAGGCCUACCAAGGCGACGAUCUGUAGCGGGUCUGAGAGGAUGAUCCGCCACACUGGGACUGAGACACGGCCCAGACGCCUACGGGAGGCAGCAGUGGGGAAUAUUGGACAAUGGGCGCAAGCCUGAUCCAGCCAUGCCGCGUGUGUGAAGAAGGCCAUAUGGUUGUAAAGCACUUUAAGCGAGGAGGAGGCUACUUUAGUUAAUACCUAGAGAUAGUGGACGUUACUCGCAGAAUAAGCACCGGCUAACUCUGUGCCAGCCGCCGCGGUAACAC
rnacentral:rRNA from 1 species